rnacentral:lncRNA from 1 species
AGUUUCCCAGUGCUGGAAUAUAGAAAAUGGAUGGACAAGUAAAUCCCACUCAGCACCCAUAGUCCAGGCAUGGGGACCUCAACACACCUGAGCCCCAGACAUCACCUUUCAUUGCGAGUAGCUCUGAGAUGACACUUCUGCUGUUCCCAAUUCCAGCAUUGAGUGAAAUUACCAUAAAAAUAAUAAUAGUAGCAGCUAAUAUUUACUGAGCUGUUACUAGGUGCAUCCAGGAAGAGAAACUGACUGGGCAACAUGUUAUUCAGGUACAAAAAGACUUG